rnacentral:rRNA from 1 species
ACGCUCGACACCUAUGGGAGGCAGCAGUGGGGAAUAUUGCACAAUGGGGGAAACCCUGAUGCAGCGACGCCGCGUGAGCGAAGAAGUAUCUCGGUAUGUAAAGCUCUAUCAGCAGGGAAGAAGAUGACGGUACCUGACUAAGAAGCACCGGCUAAAUACGUGUCAGCAGCCGCGGUAAUCUGAGCGGGCUGGCAAGGC